UGGGGAAUAUUGGACAAUGGGCGAAAGCCUGAUCCAGCCAUGCCGCGUGUGUGAAGAAGGUCUUCGGAUUGUAAAGCACUUUAAGUUGGGAGGAAGGGCAGUAAGCGAAUACCUUGCUGUUUUGACGUUACCGACAGAAUAAGCACCGGCUAACUCUGUGCCAGCAGCCGCGGUAAUACAGAGGGUGCAAGCGUUAAUCGGAAUUACUGGGCGUAAAGCGCGCGUAGGCGGCUAAUUAAGUCAAAUGUGAAAUCCCCGAGCUUAACUUGGGAAUUGCAUUCGAUACUGGUUAGCUAGAGUGUUGGAGAGGAUGGUAGAAUUCCAGGUGUAGCGGUGAAAUGCGUAGAGAUCUGGAGGAAUACCGAUGGCGAAGGCAGCCAUCUGGCCUAACACUGACGCUGAGGUGCGAAAGCAUGGGGAGCAAACAGG
rnacentral:rRNA from 1 species